rnacentral:rRNA from 1 species
GACGAACGCUGGCGGCGUGCUUAACACAUGCAAGUCGAACGGAAAGGCCCUGCUUUUGUGGGGUGCUCGAGUGGCGAACGGGUGAGUAACACGUGAGUAACCUGCCCUUGACUUUGGGAUAACUUCAGGAAACUGGGGCUAAUACCGGAUAGGAGCUCCUGCUGCAUGGUGGGGGUUGGAAAGUUUCGGCGGUUGGGGAUGGACUCGCGGCUUAUCAGCUUGUUGGUGGGGUAGUGGCUUACCAAGGCUUUGACGGGUAGCCGGCCUGAGAGGGUGACCGGCCACAUUGGGACUGUGAUACGGCCCAGACUCCUACGGGAGGCAGCAGUGGGGAAUAUUGCACAAUGGGCGGAAGCCUGAUGCAGCAACGCCGCGUGCGGGAUGACGGCCUUCGGGUUGUAAGCCGCUUUCGCCUGUGACGAAGCGUGAGUGACGGUAAUGGGUAAAGAAGCACCGGCUAACUACGUG